rnacentral:rRNA from 1 species
AAGCAUAUCAAUAAGCGGAGGAAAAGAAACUAACCAGGAUUCCCCUAGUAACGGCGAGUGAACAGGGAUUAGCCCAGCACCGAAGCCGGCGUCCGUUUGGGCGUUGGGCAAUGUGGUGUUUAGGUUUUCGCGUUGGGGUGUUGCUCCGUUCCAAGUCCAAUCAUGAAUAUGGCUUUAGCAUGGCCCAGAGAGGGUGAAAGGCCCGUGUGGACGGAGUGGCGCUCUACUGCGUUGACUUUGGAGUCGGGUUGUUUGAGAAUGCAGCCCAAAGUUGGUGGUAAACUCCAUACUAAGGCUAAAUACUGGCACGAGUCCGAUAGCGAACAAGUACCGUGAGGGAAAUUUAAAAUC